GAUGAAGAACGUAGCGAAAUGCGAUAAGUAAUGUGAAUUGCAUAAUUCAGUGAAUCAUCGAAUCUUUGAACGCAUCUUGCGCUCCUUGGUAUUCUGAGGAGCAUGCCUGUUUGAGUGUCAUUAAAUUCUCAACUACACUGACUUUGAAUUGGUGUGGCUUGGAUUUGGGGGGAAAAUUGUUGUGGGCUUUUUGUAUAGUCUGCUCCCCUGAAAUUGAUUAGCGGUACCUUUGUGGAACUGUCUACAGGUGUGAUAAUUAUCUACAUCUUAGACAUCUGCUGGAAUGCUGCUUUCUAAACCUUACUUGUAUUGACAAUCUUGACCUCAAAUCAGGUAGGACUACCCGCUGAACUUAAGCAUAUCAAUAAGCGGAGGA
rnacentral:misc_RNA from 1 species